rnacentral:rRNA from 1 species
GACGAACGCUGGCGGCGUGCCUAAUACAUGCAAGUAGGACGAGUUGCGAACGGGUGAGUAACGCGUGGUAACCUACCUAUUAGAGGGGGAUAACUGAUCGAAAGAUCAGCUAAUACCGCAUACGAUUGGAGCGGCCGAUGCCCGAUUAGCUAGUUGGUGAGGUAAAGGCUCACCAAGGCGCCGAUCGGUAGCUGGUCUGAGAGGACGACCAGCCACACUGGGACUGAGACACGGCCCAGACUCCUACGGGAGGCAGCAGGGGGGAAUAUUGCACAAUGGGCGCAAGCCUGAUACAGCCAUGCCGCGUGUAUGAAGAAGGCCUUCGGGUUGUAAAGUACUUUCAGCGAGGAGGCGUUACUCGCAGAAGAAGCACCGGCUAACUCCGUGCCAGCAGCCGCGGUAAUAC